rnacentral:rRNA from 1 species
AGAGUUUGAUCAUGGCUCAGAUUGAACGCUGGCGGCAGGCCUAACACAUGCAAGUCGAACGGUAACAGGAAGAAGCUUGCUGCUUUGCUGACGAGUGGCGGACGGGUGAGUAAUGUCUGGGAAACUGCCUGAUGGAGGGGGAUAACUACUGGAAACGGUAGCUAAUACCGCAUAACGUCGCAAGACCAAAGAGGGGGACCUUCGGGCCUCUUGCCAUCGGAUGUGCCCAGAUGGGAUUAGCUUGUUGGUGGGGUAACGGCUCACCAAGGCGACGAUCCCUAGCUGGUCUGAGAGGAUGACCAGCCACACUGGAACUGAGACACGGUCCAGACUCCUACGGGAGGCAGCAGUGGGGAAUAUUGCACAAUGGGCGCAAGCCUGAUGCAGCCAUGCCGCGUGUAUGAAGAAGGCCUUCGGGUUGUAAAGUACUUUCAGCGGGGAGGAAGGGAGUAAAGUUAAUACCUUUGCUCAUUGACGUUACCCGCAGAAGAAGCACCGGCUAACUCCGUGCCAGCAGCCGCGGUAAUACGGAGGGUGCAAGCGUUAAUCGGAAUUACUGGGCGUAAAGCGCACGCAGGCGGUUUGUUAAGUCAGAUGUGAAAUCCCCGGGCUCAACCUGGGAACUGCAUCUGAUACUGGCAAGCUUGAGUCUCGUAGAGGGGGGUAGAAUUCCAGGUGUAGCGGUGAAAUGCGUAGAGAUCUGGAGGAAUACCGGUGGCGAAGGCGGCCCCCUGGACGAAGACUGACGCUCAGGUGCGAAAGCGUGGGGAGCAAACAGGAUUAGAUACCCUGGUAGUCCACGCCGUAAACGAUGUCGACUUGGAGGUUGUGCCCUUGAGGCGUGGCUUCCGGAGCUAACGCGUUAAGUCGACCGCCUGGGGAGUACGGCCGCAAGGUUAAAACUCAAAUGAAUUGACGGGGGCCCGCACAAGCGGUGGAGCAUGUGGUUUAAUUCGAUGCAACGCGAAGAACCUUACCUGGUCUUGACAUCCACAGAACUUUCCAGAGAUGGAUUGGUGCCUUCGGGAACUGUGAGACAGGUGCUGCAUGGCUGUCGUCAGCUCGUGUUGUGAAAUGUUGGGUUAAGUCCCGCAACGAGCGCAACCCUUAUCCUUUGUUGCCAGCGGUCCGGCCGGGAACUCAAAGGAGACUGCCAGUGAUAAACUGGAGGAAGGUGGGGAUGACGUCAAGUCAUCAUGGCCCUUACGACCAGGGCUACACACGUGCUACAAUGGCGCAUACAAAGAGAAGCGACCUCGCGAGAGCAAGCGGACCUCAUAAAGUGCGUCGUAGUCCGGAUUGGAGUCUGCAACUCGACUCCAUGAAGUCGGAAUCGCUAGUAAUCGUGGAUCAGAAUGCCACGGUGAAUACGUUCCCGGGCCUUGUACACACCGCCCGUCACACCAUGGGAGUGGGUUGCAAAAGAAGUAGGUAGCUUAACCUUCGGGAGGGCGCUUACCACUUUGUGAUUCAUGACUGGGGUGAAGUCGUAACAAGGUAACCGUAGGGGAACCUGCGGUUG